CCUACGGGAGGCAGCAGUGGGGAAUAUUGCACAAUGGGGGAAACCCUGAUGCAGUGACGCCGCGUGAGUGAAGAAGUAUUUCGGUACGUAAAGCUCUAUCAGCAGGGAAGAAAAUGACGGUACCUGACUAAGAAGUCCCGGCUAACUACGUGCCAGCAGCCGCGGUAAUACGUAGGGGGCAAGCGUUAUCCGGAUUUACUGGGUGUAAAGGGAGCGUAGACGGCAGCGCAAGUCUGGAGUGAAAUCCCAUGGCUUAACCAUGGAACUGCUUUGGAAACUGUGCAGCUAGAGUGCAGGAGAGGUAAGCGGAAUUCCGAGUGUAGCGGUGAAAUGCGUAGAUAUUAGGAGGAACACCAGUGGCGAAGGCGGCUUACUGGACUGUAACUGACGUUGAGGCUCGAAAGCGUGGGGAGCAAACAGGAUUAGAUACCCGAGUAGUC
rnacentral:rRNA from 1 species